CUCAGGACCUCUGGAAGAGCAGACAGUGCUCUUAACUCUGAGCCAUCUCUCCAGCCUUACACAGAUGCUGGCAUGGUCCUGUCCCAGGUUGUUCCCUCACCGUAAGGUCUCCCUCCUCUUCGCCUGGUCUCUUCAGUCUCGAAGAAAGUCUCAUGUUCUUCCCAGCGCCGGUCACAGGCUGCACAGAGGAAAUUCGACUCGAAACAGUUGCAGCAACACCCUAUGGCAAAAAUGCACCAAGAAGAAUAUAAGGAAUUAAUGGCA